rnacentral:lncRNA from 1 species
AAAGACAUUUCUACCAAUAUACUAUAAAAUUUUUCUUUAAACUACCAUAAUUAUCAAUAACAACUCAACAAACUUGUGCAUCGCACGGGUAUACGUCUAGUACUUGUCUAAUAUUCAAACUACAAAUCAUGGCAAGUUUUUUCUACUAUGAUCAAAUUAUUUGCAAACAAAAAGGAAAUAGGUUGAGACAUAAAUCAUAAGUGACACAUUGUGCAAUAUGCAAGUUACUAAACCAGAGAAUAAUCUACUUCAUGUCGUAGAUGUCUAAAACACCAAUCGAACAUGGAGAAGCCUGUAUCAUGAGGAUUUGGAAGCGUGAUGUACUUUUGUGAUUUUUUAUCGUCCCAUGAAUACAUGAUACAUGUUGUAGAUAAAACACUGAUGACAUAAACAGAAUUACUCUCAUAUCCCCACAUGUUCGGAUUUCUCAAUGCAUAACAGCUUUUCUCCAACAUAUUUGACACACAAAAUAACGCAAUGUCACCCAAAGUUUCCAAUUCGACAUAAGUCAUAGUUGAGAAGUCUAUCUUGUACGCAUUCCUUAUAAAAUUGAACUUCAUAUCAACCACUAAAAGUUGAUCGUCACAAUUAACCAACCUAAGCCAUAAGGACGUUGUAGCAUCGGAAAUACUCUUCAGUUUUAGAAAUUUAAUAUUUGCUGAAUUCAAGCUGAGUACCCCAAUGUUGGCCUUGUCAGUGACUACAUAUAUUAUAUUAUGAAAAAUCACAAAGUCAACAACCCUCCCUUGAUUUUCCAUUGUAGAAUAAGUAACCCAACCACAAUUACGAGAUUGAUAGACAUGCAAACUCAUAGAAUCUUGGCAUAAAACCACCAAGACAAAUUCCUCAGAGCAUUUGCCAAAAGCAAGCAGGGCAUGGUUAGCAAACAUAUAAGACUGAACUUCGAAGUUAGAGGUAUUGAUUACCUUGUUUAUUCUUGUAAAUGGAUUGAUUAGCAUAAAUGAAUUAUUGUCCCCUGCCAUGAUAAAAUAUCCACUACAAAACGUAACAUAGGUAUAGCGGAAGAAAUACUCCAUCAUCUUCAAGCAAUAAACUUUUUGUUCGGGUAUGCUACUAAGGGAAAUUGAUCCGUAACCAUCAUAUGAAAUUUGAAGAAUUAAUGGUUCUUGGGAUGCCAAGAAAUUUCUCCAGUAAAUUUUACGAAAAGCCCCUCCAAUUCUUGCACACACCGGCAAACUGAAAGAGGUCGUCAAAAUCUAGUGUUUUGGAAAUGAUAUCAAGCACAUCCCAGGGAAAGUCACGGUUCUCUUCUACUUUCUUCAAUUUUUUCCCUUUGUAUCACAACAAUGACAAUGUUAGGUGAUUGCUAAACAUAUCUUUUUAUUUAUUUCUGAAACAUAAGAUAUUUUAUUGUUUAUAUGAUAAUAUCAUGGAAAGUACGAUAAAGAGAUAUUUACCACCCCUUUUACCCCAAACAAAAAUCCAGCAUAAAAUACAAAUAUGCGUGAUCCUCUUUUUCGUGUGAAUAGUUAACUUUCCCAUUUUUGUGAUCAUGGAUCAUGCCAAUAUAUAGCAAACUAUAGGUGUCCAUUUUCAUCUUCAUAGAAAUUAACAUUCUAACUGAAAGCAUUAAAUAUUUGGCAUGCAUGACAUUUUAUUGACCCUACUACCCAACAAAAAAGAAAAAAAAGGAUAAAAGACAUAGGAAAAGUUCAAUUAGUGAGGAAAUAACAUUUCCAUGCAAUUCCCUACAAUCAUGUGAGAUAAAACAAAUACACCAAGAAUCAAUAAAAGAUACAAGAAUGAAAAUUUUAGAUUAAUUCUUAAACAUAAAAGAUACUGGAAUACUGAUAUAACUGAAAAGAUUGGAAUAGUAAAAAUAAAUACUACGAAGAAAAGCAAUAGAGUGGAAUUAUUGAAGGGUUGAAAAUAAACAGACAAAAUUACAAUUUAUGCUAUCGAAGACAAAAGUGAUAAGGUUUUAGUUGCAUGAGCCGAAAAAAUACAACAGAUAUAUAUGAGAAUACCCUUCAUUGUAUUGAGAUGCUAUCAAAUAGCUUCCGAAGCUCUAGAUCUCUAGGUAGUCAAUAGUGGCACAAUCACGCCCGUGCAUGGAGGCGUGGUGUCUGACCGCGACAGCGUGGGCAGGUCUUGUGUGUGCUCUAAAUGCGUUCGUAAGUCUUGGGUGAGGAGCAGGUCGCGGGUCGUAGCGUCCUCCUAGACCGCGAGCCGUUGUCUAGGAAAGACCCAAAUUGUCCUUAAUUUUGAACCAUUUAAAGCUAUUUUGGGGGUUUUGUGUUUAAUCUAAACCCAUUCUUCUAUUCUUCUUUGAUACUCUUCUUUUAUCCUUCGCUGCAAAGUGCAAUCAGUCCUGAGCUGAGAGAGUGUUGAGUGCAAAGUUGAACUUCAUCUUCACCGUUUUUUGCACGAUGCCGCGCCGGCUACUGUCCAUUUGUCUCCUCCUCUCCAUUGUUUCCUCUUUUCUUUGUCUUCUAUGUUUCCUCCUUUCUUUUUUUGUUACUCUGUUGAAUCUAUUGAUAUUAUUUCCCCCCUUACUAUUUAUUCUUCUCUGUACUCUUAUUUGUAUUUCCUUUUGCUACUAUUGUUUUGAUUUUUUUUUUUUACUUUCAUAUAUUUAAGUGUUGGAGACUUCCAUAUUCUUUAUUUCGUUGACUUUUGUUGGUAUUUAAAUGUAUGUUUUGAUUAAGACUUGUGGAAUUUUAUUGCAAUUUAUGAAUUUUUCGUGAGUUUUGAGUUAUUUGUUUAAUCUUACAUUAAACAAUGAUUAUAGUAUUAUUCGUGAAAUUUGUCCCAAAAUGAUUAAUAGCGGUCAUCUUGCUAUACGCUAUAUAUCUCACUUUCAGUGUCGGACGCUCUGCGUUGCUACCUGGGAACUGCCUAGCUAGAUACCAAUAUGGAUCCAAGAGCUGAUUAUGUGAAUACAUUUAGUAUGAUUCUACUUCUAAAAAAUCUAUUGGAAUAAGUUUUUGAAAAUUAUAGUCCUUCAAAAUUUAACUACUACAAUUGCAAUCAACAACAAAUUUCCUUCAAAUUUCCCAAAUUUCCCUUUUGCGGCCAAAUACACAUAUUUUCUGUGCCCCCUAUCAAUAGCCCAACUCAAACAAAAAUAGUCCUAGAUAGUGUGGAUAGUUAACACCAACAUAAGUCAAGACGAUGGCAAGGUUUAGGACAGAUAUCAACCCCAAUCAAUACAUCACCAUAGAUUCUCGGGAAGAAUUAGUAUCCACCCUUUCUAAUAUGCUCGCGUAAAACAAGAGACUGAAAGACACCACAGUUUCAAAAUAAGUCAACCAAGGACCAAAUAAGAAUUAGCAUUCACCCUUAAUACAUUCCUUUCAGAUUUUUUGUUUAUUUUCUUUGGAAAAAUUUCAUGCAAUUAAAUGUUUGGGACCCCCAAUUUAAAAUCCUUGCUCCAUCUCAGCCUUCUAAUUCAAGACGAUGGCACAGACAAGCAUCUAACAUGUAAGCUAUGAAGAAGGAGAUCACUUGUAAGAUGAGAACAAAUGGACAAAGUUAAGAUGACUGGCAAACAACAAGAAGCUUCGAAGGGCAAUAUUGAUGGAUGAUAGGACUAUACAACUCAUGUUUAUUCUAGAAAGAGAUAGCAAGGGGCACAUGAGAUAGAUAAAUGGAAAAAGAGGAUAGGCUGAAUGAAAAGUAUGUUGAGUUGGAAAAAAGGGAAAAUAAAGAAUCCUAACAGAAUAUAAAGGCUAAGGAGUAAGGAGACUAGAGAGGUGGGGAGUGAAAAAAUAUUGGUAUGAGGUGCUAUAAAACGGGUUGGACAUUCAUAUUUGUCUUCACUUUUAAUGGAUAAUGGGCCAAAAAAAAAAUGAGCUGAAUGAGGAGGAGGAUCUGUUGGAAGAAAAAGAAAAUGAGGAAUCCUAACAUAAUGGUUGCAGAGCUGAAUGAGGAGGAGGAGUGUCUUUUCUUUUUAAUACUCCAAAAGUGUCACUAUAUGUCGCAAAGAAUCUUAAUCCAUCAAUUAAUAGUGCAAAAUUAGGACUCCAUUACACUCAAUCCAACAAAAAUUGAACAAUUUAAAUAUGGUGGAUAUAUAUCGCAAAGAAACUGCAGAAAAGCAUCAAGAUAUGAGAAUUACAAUGAAUAGUGAUAAACUACUAACCAGUGGUCUCAAAUUGAAAUGGAAGUGUGAUUCUAUCUGUAUGACCUUUAAGCAACCCC